GGGGGUGUGGGGGUGGGGGCAGGCAAUAUAUGUGCUUGGCAUGCAUGAGGUCCUGGGUUCAAUCCCCAGUACCUCCA
rnacentral:tRNA from 1 species